rfam:Nomascus leucogenys chromosome 19, whole genome shotgun sequence.
GGUGGAAUUCAAGUAUAGUGGUGUUUACUAUUAAUUGAGCACAGCCAGUUACAGAUUUCUUUGUUCCUUCUCUACUCCCACUGCUUCACUUGAUUAGCCUUAA